rnacentral:rRNA from 1 species
GGUGUUUACUGUCGAACUGAACACUCUACCGUUUACUGUCUGGUGGUGCUCUUCACCGAGUGUCACCAGUGGUCGGUACGUUUACUUUGAAAAAAUUAGAGUGCUCAAAGCGGUUUUUACACGACCGAUACUGUUGCAUGGAAUAAUGAAAUAGGACUUUGGUUCUAUUUUGUUGGUCUUCGGAACCCAGGGUAAUGAUAGAGGGACAGACGGGGGCAUUAGUAUUGCGACGCUAGAGGUGAAAUUCUUGGACCGUCGCAAGACUAACUAAAGCGAAAGCAUUUGCCAAGAAUGUUUUCAUUAAUCAAGAACGAAAGUUAGAGGUUCGAAGGCGAUCAGAUACCGCCCUAGUUCUAACCAUAAACGAUGCCAACCAGCAAUCAGCCUGUGUUCUCUUGAUGACACGGCUGGCGGCUUCCGGGAAACCAAAGUCUUUCGGUUCCAGGGGAAGUAUGGUUGUAAAGCUGAAACUUAAAGGAAUUGACGGAAGGGCACCACCAGGAGUGGAGCCUGCGGCUUAAUUUGACUCAACACGGGGAAACUCACCCGGCCCGGACACUGUGAGGAUUGACAGGUUGAAGCCCUUUCUUGAUUCAGUGGGUGGUGGUGCAUGGCCGUUCUUAGUUGGUGGAGUGAUUUGUCUGGUUAAUUCCGAUAACGAACGAGACUCUAGCCUACUAAUUAGACCGUGGCGUCCUCGUGCCGCCACGGCGCUUCCUAGAGGGACAGACGG